rnacentral:rRNA from 1 species
AUUGAACGCUGGCGGCAGGCCUAACACAUGCAAGUCGAGCGGAUGAAGGGAGCUUGCUCCUGGAUUCAGCGGCGGACGGGUGAGUAAUGCCUAGGAAUCUGCCUUGUAGUUUGGGAUAACGUCCGUAAACGGGCGCUAAUACCGCAUACGUCCUGAGGUAGAAAGUGGGGGAUCUUCGGACCUCACGCUUUCUGAUGAGCCUAGGUCGGAUUAGCUAGUUGGUUGGGUAAAGGCCUACCAAGGCGACGAUCCGUAACUGGUCUGAGAGGAUGAUCAGUCACACUGGAACUGAGACACGGUCCAGACUCCUACGGGAGGCAGCAGUGGGGAAUAUUGGACAAUGGGCGAAAGCCUGAUCCAGCCAUGCCGCGUGUGUGAAGAAGGUCUUCGGAUUGUAAAGCACUUUAAGUUGGGAGGAAGGGAAGUAAGUUAAUAACUUGCUGUUUUGACGUUACCAACAGAAUAAGCACCGGCUAACUUCGUG